rnacentral:rRNA from 1 species
CCUACGGGUGGCAGCAGUGGGGAAUAUUGCACAAUGGGGGAAACCCUGAUGCAGCGACGCCGCGUGAAGGAAGAAGUAUUUCGGUAUGUAAACUUCUAUCAGCAGGGAAGAAAAUGACGGUACCUGACUAAGAAGCCCCGGCUAACUACGUGCCAGCAGCCGCGGUAAUACGUAGGGGGCAAGCGUUAUCCGGAUUUACUGGGUGUAAAGGGAGCGUAGGCGGCGAUGCAAGUCAGAAGUGAAAGCCCGGGGCUCAACUCCGGGACUGCUUUUGAAACUGUGUUGCUAGAUUGCAGGAGAGGGAAGUGGAAUUCCUAGUGUAGCGGUGAAAUGCAUAGAUAUCUCGCAGAACCCCGAUUGCGAAGGCAGCAUGCCGGCUUCCGACUGACGCUGAAGCACGAAAGCGUGGGGAUCGAACAGGAUUAGAUACCCCUGUAGUC